CCUACGGGCGGCAGCAGUGGGGAAUAUUGGGCAAUGGGCGCAAGCCUGACCCAGCAACGCCGCGUGAAGGAAGAAGGCCCUCGGGUUGUAAACUUCUUUUGUCAGGGACGAAACAAAUGACGGUACCUGACGCAUAAGCCACGGCUAACUACGUGCCAGCAGCCGCGGUAAUACGUAGGUGGCAAGCGUUAUCCGGAUUUACUGGGUGUAAAGGGCGGGUAGGCGGGAGAGCAAGUCAGAUGGGAAAUUCCAGGGCUCAACCGUGGAACUGCAUUUGAAACUGGUUUACUUGAGUGAGGGAGAGGCAGGCGGAAUUCCGUGUGUAGCGGUGAAAUGCGUAGAUAUACGGAGGAACACCAGUGGCGAAGGCGGCCUGCUGGACAGUAACUGACGCUGAGGCGCGAAAGCGUGGGGAGCAAACAGGAUUAGAUACCCGAGUAGUC
rnacentral:rRNA from 1 species